rnacentral:misc_RNA from 1 species
AACGGUCUAUACCUGCGGUACCUGCGGAGGGAUCAUUAGUGAACGCCCUCACGGGCUUAUAACUAUUCCAAACCUCUGUGAACCGUGCCCUUCGGGGCUAUUUUACAAACAUGGUGUAAUGAACGUCAUAUAUCAUAACAAAACAAAACUUUCAACAACGGAUCUCU